AGAAAAAGACGGGCAGCGACGAGAGAAAAUAAAACGGGGCCAUCCACAGCGCCCCCACCCCCCGCGACACCCCUCACUCCUACCUCCUCCUCGUCCUUCUCCUUCUGCGCCCUAGGAGCCCCCCGCCGCCGCCGCCGACUGCUACUCCUCCUCGCCCCUUCCUCUAUGUUUCUCUCCUCCUCCUGCUCGCCGCCACCUCCCCUCCCGCCUCAUCUCCAUUUCCCGAUCUGGCAGGCAGAGGAGGAGAGAAAGGAGAGGGAUGGUGGGAUCCGAUGGAUCUGCUCGGGAGCUCGAGGUGCUCAGCCCCGCUGCUCCUCACGCCUUCUCCGCCGCGCUCGGGGAGGGUCGCCGCCAAGGGUGGGGAGCACGAGCUCGGGGGAGGGCUGGAUCCAGCGACUACGCACUCGGGAGCCUCCCCGCGCCACUGUGUCGUGGUCGCCGCGGCAGGGGUCCAGCAGCAGUCGCACGGGGCAGCUGGAUCCACAGGAGCUCGUGUUCGGGGUCACCGUGGAUGGACUCUGAAUUUUAGGGUCUCCGACAUGGAAAUGGUGCAUUUCAGCAUCACCAACUCAACUCCAUGCAUAUGCAGAUGCAGGGGGGAGGAGAGGACCACUACUUUGAUUCUCUGAUUUUUUUUGUGAGAAUUAAGAUGGGUGGCUUCUCGUGUAGAACUCAGUUUACAUAUAUUUUUUAUUUUAUAACUAGACCUAUGCUUUUAUCAGGUUUUCUUAUGAUGUGUUCAUAUUCUGUAGGAAGAGCAUCUUCAUAUCAGGAAGAAAAAUCGUGGGUGGAAGCUACUGACCAUGAGGAUUUACAUCAGUGACCUUCACUCGGGUUGUAAGUAGGAUAUAAUGCAGUAAAGACUUCUAUUCUUGCGAGUCUGGUUAGAUGCACUUGUGAAUGGCUGCUAAGAAAAAAGGCCUCGGAGUGUAGAGAAGGUUUCUGAGAUAUGCAUGCCAAAUAUCUAGCUACUUUGGCAUUUUUGUAGGUAGAUCUGUAGAUAUAAAUAAAGUUGGUUCUAUUGUGAUACUCUCAAUUUCUUCCAGUGUAUGAUAUUCUGAAGGUUGGGGAAUAUAUAUUUACACGAGAUAAAUUAUGAUAUACUCAUGUUUCUUGAACCAUUAAUGACCAUCACUACAUCAA